rnacentral:tRNA from 1 species
GCCUGGAUGGCUCAGUCAGUUGAGUGUCUGACUUCAGCUCAGGUCAUGAUCUCACAGCUCGUGAGUUCGAGCCCCACGUCAGGCU